GGCACCUAUGAUCUCACCCUGUUCAGGAACUUUAAUAAAUCCCAAAAGGCACCUGGGGGUAUCUUGAGAUGCCUAAACAACAUUAUUAGUCAGAUCAAUGAGUAAGGAUGGCUUGCUGUCUGUACAAGUAACAUAAAAGAGUGGUGUCUAUUACCAUGCUAAGCAUUACUGAGUGUUCUUUGUCCUAACAUCUGAAAUGCCCAACAGGAAAACCUGACAGAUAGAGGUUCACCCACCCAGUUCCAGCUGUCACUGGUCUUGUCCUGGAAAGGGACAAGGAAAAUCAACUUUCUGAUGUCAGACACAAGUGAUGUUGGAGGAGGAAAAUUUUCAGUUUGUUCUCAGGUCUGGUAUUUCCCACAUCAAGGAAGAUGCUUCUUCG
rnacentral:lncRNA from 12 species